UAAAACAAAUAGAUAUAUAACCAUCGUAUCAAGAUACAUUAUGUUUAUUUCUCAAAAAAAACUUACGCGGUGAUUAUACAUCAAUAGAGACAAUUUUUUGCAACGUACUAGAUAAACGAGUGUAAGAAAUUAUCAUUUCAUUAGUCUAAUUCUUCGAUAAAAAAGCAGUUCAAAUAAGAGAGGAAACACGCGUAAAUCUCUCAAAGUGAGGUGAAAUCCAGUGAGAUCGUGCUUUCAAGUUAUCUUAGAAGGGACAGAGAAAGGAAAAUUCGUUACCCCAUUACCAACAAUUGCCUCUGGCCCUAUUUUUGUUAAAAGUACAUUCGGCUUACUUGUAUUUUAUAUUCAGUUUUGAAGGUUAUAUUCAAGUUUAAAGUUUUAAUCGUUUAAUUAUACUUCCAGUAACAAAAUAUUUCAGAAGCAGUCAGUCACUAUAACCGGUCGUUGGUAUGAGAAUGAUUUUAUCAUGCGAGAAGAACGUUGCGAAGGAAAAUGUACAUGUUAGGAUUCUCGAGGAGGACAGGCGGGUCGUUUGGGAAGGAUUCGGUGACUUCUAACCGGCUCGUGUAUGCGAACGAAUAAGUACGAUGUUCAACGUUUGCGUAGAAUACCACUCAUUUUAUAUAUUCUACGUCUUCCGUCAGUUAAUUUAAUGAUAUAAUUUAUGUUGGGAGCAGCAAUUGCAUUCAAAACACCAACAUAUUACAUGCAGAAAGUAGAUCAACGGGUGCAAUGCACGUACAGCUAAAAAAAUCGCCGGAUGAUGCGACGAGCGAACCAUUAUCUUUUCAGAUGUUUCUUCUCAAUGCACGUUCCGCCACAACCACUUCACGUCGAGCAUGGACUCCCACAAAAGAUCAAGAAGCAAUCUUGCCGUAGCCUUCUAGUAUACAACGGGGAAGGAUUUGGGGUUCACUCGCUAUAUCAGUUAUUUUACAGUCGUCAAAUGACCGCCGCAGGGAGACUUGUUCAGGCAUCACCCCCCUCCCCCCAGUGGAUACUAGGGGGUCCGAAAUUUCCUGCAUCGCAACGUUCUUCUCUCUGUUUGCACUUUCUAUGAUUUUUAUAUAAAAAGAUGGGAGGAUCCGCACAGAGAUGUGGUGAGUGAACCGUUGGACUAAAGAGGGGCUGUCAACUUUACCAAGUCGCCCACCUAGGACAG